GACGAACGCUGGCGGCGUGCUUAACACAUGCAAGUCGAACGAAGUGGCGAACGGGGGAGUAAUACGUGGGUAACCUGCUCUACUUUUUGGGAUAAGCCUUGGAAAUGGGGCCUAAUACCGAAUAAAGGGGGAUGGGCUCGCGGCCUAUCAGCUUGUUGGUGGGGUGAUGGCUUACCAAGGUGGUGACGGGUAGCCGGCCUGAGAGGGUGACAGGCCACAUUGGUACUGAGGUACGUCCCAGAGUCCUCCGGGGGGCAGCAGUUGGAGCUAUUGCACAAUGGGCGACAUCCUGAUGCAGCGACGCCGCGUGGGGUAUGAGGGCUUUCGGGUUUUAAACCUCUGUCGCUAUCGAACGGGUAGGUGAAGAAGAAGCGCCGACUAACUACGUGCCAGCAGCCGCGGUAAUAC
rnacentral:rRNA from 1 species